UACGAAGGGGGCUAGCGUUGCUCGGAAUCACUGGGCGUAAAGGGUGCGUAGGCGGGUUUUUAAGUCAGGGUGAAAUCCUGGAGCUCAACUCCAGAACUGCCUUUGAUACUGAAGAUCUUGAGUCGGGAGAGGUGAGUGGAACUGCGAGUGUAGAGGUGAAAUUCGUAGAUAUUCGCAAGAACACCAGUGGCGAAGGCGGCUCACUGGCCCGAUACUGACGCUGAGGCACGAAAGCGUGGGAGCAAACAGG
rnacentral:rRNA from 1 species